UGUCCUAAUUAGCACAAGUUGAUGCACCCCCAAUUCAUCAGUUGAAUCUAUACAUGGGACAAUACUACAAGUGACCAAUCUUCCAGCCUUUGCAGUGCAAUUCAUAACUAGAUCAGGCGGUGAUUUAUGUUAUGAAUUCGAGAGAUUGAAGGAACUCUGGGAAAAGCUACAACACUAGGACAAUAUUCAAUCUGCAAAGUGGUGGAACUUGCUCCUUGGAAGGCAUGGGAUAUAACAAUGAACUACUACUUCAGGCUGAGGGUAUCCUCUAAUGAUCAUUGAUGAUUAAGGGAGAUAUUUUGGAAAGGCCGGAAAAAGGUAGCUUCCAUAACAUGAAACAAGCAAUGUUCGUGUUAGAUUGUAAUUUAGUUGUUUUGGUUUUCGUAAAUCUAGGCUUGUUUAGAUUGGUCUUUCAUUUUAUUUUGUAUGUAUUUAGUAAUGUCUAGUUCUUUCUUAUUAUUUUGAUGUUGAGAUUUUUUCUAUAUCUUUCUAUAAUUUCCAAGUGUCCUGAUUGUUACUACGGUUUUCCUCCGCCAUAAGUGAGGGUUUUCAAUAAAUUUGGGAGGAGGUCGCUCAUGGACAGAUGACCUUCGUC